CACACUUGGGUGUCUUUCGUGUGAUCUUCGCACUUCGACUACUAAAAUACGUUCUGACUAUUCUUCUCGGAUGAGGCUGAUUCCUUACGCUCUAACUGUAUGGAGUAACACAAGCGGCGCAAUGGAACACAGCGGAGUCAAAAAUAGAAAACACAGUAGCGAGGAGAGGGAGAGGGAUUGGAAACAAGAAAUGAAGAUAAAGCAAGCAACUCCAUCAUCAUUUUAUAUUGGUGUUGUGGAGAUAAAGUACUUUUAUUUGAGGGCGUCAUGUUAACCUCUUCAUCUUUUGAAAGCAAUUCCUCUUAAUAAGGGAACAUCAGGUCCUUGACAGCAUUGACUUUUGUGUCUGAUGAGUGAGAGGAAUAACUUUUAAGUUAAAGUUGAUAUAAAAAGCCAGAGUUGCCCUGAGGGUGUGUAACAUUUAGGCAGGAGGUCAGCACACUAAGGCAGCAGAAAGAACUCCAAAGGCUAAACUCUCACUUCAAAAGAACUCUAUAAUGCCAGUUGAAGACAGCCCAUAGAUGGGGAGUGAAAAACACCCAUGAAAGGAGUGCUGGAAUGGAUAUAUUUUUAGAAGCUUUUAAUCAUUGGCCUUCUUCCCUUUCUUGGAACUAAUUCAACUUAGAGGAGAUAAACUUUACAGUCAAGUCUUAAUAGUGUGGUUCAAGAGCAAAGUGAAAGGUCAACAACUGCUGGUUAUAGGAUCUGAAGACUCAGAGCUUAGGACUUCCCAGAAGUCACAUCACAAGAAACCAACUCAAAAACGGAAAUUGUCAAGAGGUCUCAUAUGAUUCAUAUGGAUCUUUCUCGUUUUGUGUAAUCCAAUGAAGCUGGUGAUGACUGAUGGAAUAUUCAAAUUUGGUGCCAAUAGACAUUUAGAGCAUCCUUGUCAGAUGAAAGGAAUUUAAUUGUGUAUGGUAAAGGUAAAAGGUAAAGAGAGUUAAUGACUUACACUGUCCUUGAUGCAAGAUGUAAUGAGAAAGUGUCCAACCUUUAAGUCAAGUUGUUCUCUGUGUUUCUGUAUCAUGUUGCAUUCAAGGCAAAACCAGUGAAUAAAAACGUGGCAAAAGGAGAGUAUUAUGUUAGUUGAGGCAAAGUUGUUGUGAAGGAAAACAGGAAGUUUAUUUAAAUUACUGUAUUGAGCAGAACUUGUUUAGAUGAUCAGUCAGCUUAAUCAUGGAGAAGAUAAACAUGAAAGAUACCAACUCUUGUUUAGAGAUGAACAAUUUUGAAGCAAUCUGGAAACAAUCUUAAACUCAGUUUAACACUCAACACCCUAACAUCAGUAUGCAUAUUCUCCAUACUGUUCUCUAUACAUUUCUCAAGUGCUGACAAGGAAAAUGUGUUUAACAAUCAAGAGCUUGUUUAAUUGGUGAUCAUUUUGUUUAUUCUUGUCCUUAAUAUGUGAUUCUGGGGGGAUACUAUUAGGAGAAAUUGGACAUUAGUCACUUCUAGGGAUCAAAUGGUUAAACUUUGCCUACUUAAGUGGGGAAUCUUCUCGAAAUAAUUUUUCUGCUUAAUAGAGUUUUAGAAAUUGAAAGGAGAAUCAACAUGUUGGUCAUCCAAGUACAUUUUACAGAAUAAGAAGUAUUAGCAUAACUGCUCAGGAGGUUAUAGAGAUUUUCAUGUCUUUCAUUGUUCAGGAACUUCACUAUACAGGAGGUGAUUAUGGCAGGGGGUUAAAUUUCAGAUUGAUCUGGCAGCAGUUGGCUUAUUGUAAGGCAAAUCAAACCUCUUAAACACUUUCUUGGAAACAAAUGUAGACAUGAUCAUGAUAAUAUUCAUUGAGUUGUUGCUUCUGUCAUAUGCAUGUUACUAUUGACCAAGUAAUGUACAGGCAAGACAUUGUGUAUAUGUUCUGAGAUAAGUGACGAGUUGGAAGCAAAAUAUUAUUUUGAUAUAUGAUUUGCAAUUUGCUUUGACAAUUACCUGAACAACUAUGACAAAAGAAUUAUUUUACUCAGGCUCAGUGAAUGUUGGUAGAUAAUUCCCAUGCCUUCAUUUCAAGGAUUAUUCAGUAAUAUUCACUUCACCUUCAACAAAAAUUUUUUAAAAAGGCUUUAUGGAAAUUAUGCACACUUUAACUUUUGCUUGGUGUGAUGUUAUUGUCUACUUCAGACUGUAUUUUGCCUUUGAUAUCCUGGUUUUGUUUGAAAUACUUUAAGUAUAUUUGGUCACACUUUUGCACAAUAAUAGUUACAAAUUACAAUUGCAUUGCACUGGAUUUUAAUAAGUCUUCAAGCAUAUUGUAAGCAAUGCCCUUAGAUGAAGUGAUAUAAUGUAAUGACGAAAUCUUGAAAUUUUUAUUUUACUUUUAACCAGAUGAGGAGUACCAUAGACACCUAAGUUACCAUAGUGGUAUUCAGUAUCUUAGUGUUAUAGUUAUGUUUACAUAUAACAAUAAACUGCCUUAUUUAAA